rnacentral:rRNA from 1 species
UACGAAGGGGGCUAGCGUUGCUCGGAAUUACUGGGCGUAAAGCGCACGUAGGCGGCUUUCUAAGUCGGGGGUGAAAUCCUGGAGCUCAACUCCAGAACUGCCUUCGAUACUGGAGAGCUUGAGUCCGGGAGAGGUGAGUGGAACUGCGAGUGUAGAGGUGAAAUUCGUAGAUAUUCGCAAGAACACCAGUGGCGAAGGCGGCUCACUGGCCCGGAUACUGACGCUGAGGCACGAAAGCGAU